GUGACCGUAGCUCAGCCGGUAGAGCGCUCGCCUGAAACGCGAGGCGUCGCAGGUUCGAUCCCUGCCGGUCACA
rnacentral:tRNA from 1 species